rfam:Lupinus angustifolius cultivar Tanjil contig_51909, whole genome shotgun sequence.
CUAGUAGAGUCUCAUCCAGGAAAGAGGGAACUACUAUCUCGAUCACCCCAUCUUUAGCUAAGAGAGAGGAGGUCAAGUAGUUAGGCUAAUCAAUAAUGAUACUUGAAGGAAGACGAAAACAUAAGCAUCAGCUAACUCUGUGUUAGCAGUCGUGGUAAAGAGGAUGCAAGUGUUAUCCGGAAUGAUUGGGCGUAAAGCUUCUAUAGGUGGCUUUUAAAGUUCGCCGUCAAAUCCUAGGGCUCAACCCUAGAAGGCGGUGGAAACUAUCAAGCUGGAGUAGGGUAUGGGUAGAGGGAAUUUCCAAUGGAGUAGUGAAAUGCAUAGAGAUCAGAAAGAACACCAACGGCAAAAGCACUCUAUUGGGCUGAUAAACCCUAAACCCUCAAACAACCCCCCCUAAACCCACUAAACCCUAAUGAACAAGAUGAUUUUUUUU